rnacentral:rRNA from 1 species
GAUGAACGCUGGCGGCGUGCUUAACACAUGCAAGUCGAACGAUGAAGCUCAGCUUGCUGGGUGGAUUAGUGGCGAACGGGUGAGUAACACGUGAGUAACCUGCCCUUAACUCUGGGAUAAGCCUGGGAAACUGGGUCUAAUACCGGAUAGGAGCGUCCACCGCAUGGUGGGUGUUGGAAAGAUUUAUCGGUUUUGGAUGGACUCGCGGCCUAUCAGCUUGUUGGUGAGGUAAUGGCUCACCAAGGCGACGACGGGUAGCCGGCCUGAGAGGGUGACCGGCCACACUGGGACUGAGAAACGGCCCAGACUCCUACGGGAGGCAGCAGUGGGGAAUAUUGCACAAUGGGCGCAAGCCUGAUGCAGCGACGCCGCGUGAGGGAUGACGGCCUUCGGGUUGUAAACCUCUUUCAGUAGGGAAGAAGCGAAAGUGACGGUACCUGCAGAAGAAGCACCGGCUAACUACGUG